rnacentral:rRNA from 1 species
AACGGGUGAGUAACCGCGUAGGCAACCCUGCCCUUUGGAUGGGGACAACAUUCCGAAAGGAGUGCUAAUACCGAAUGUGACGAUUUUUACCCGCAUGGUUUAAUCGUCGAAAGAUGGCCUCUACAUGUAAGCUAUCGCCAAAGGAUGGGCCUGCGUCUGAUUAGCUAGUUGGCGGGGUAACGGCUCGACCAAGGCUGCGAUCAGUAGCCGGACUGACGAGGUUUGAACGGCCACAUUGGGACUGAGAUACCGGGCCCAGACCUCCUACGGGAGGCAGCAGUGGGGAAUAUUGGGGCCAAUGGGCCGAAAGCCUGACCCAGCAACGCCGCGUGAAGGAAGAAGGUCUUCGGAUUGUAAACUUCUUUUAUGAGGGACCGAAGAACGUGACGGUACCUCAUGAAUAAGCCACGGCUAACUACGUG